GUGGUUGCUACGUUUGUUGUGACGCUGUUCAAGAAAUAUGAAGUUUUGAGAUUGGCCUUGAUAGCUGGUUAUCAUUGUACAAGACAUCUUAGCAUUAUGGCAGAACAAUUAUUAUGCGUCUAUCAAUGAUAACAAUGAUACCUGAUUGAAGAUUAGGUGGUCUACAAUCCUCAGGUUCUCCAAAACUAUAUCUCAAGCCUAUCAACUCUGAAAAUUAAAGGUCGCCACCAUGCUGUCUCUCUCUGGCCGCCCCUCACAUCGUCUUGGUUUGUUGGUUGCCGCUAUGUCUCCUGCCGGUUCGCCCGCCGCUACCGCUGGAAGGGUUGUAUAGGCCGUCGCUUAUGCCACUACUCUGCAGUGACCAGUGAGGACCAUGGCAUCGAGGCAGCCCAAAAGGGAAACA